AGACACAGUUUUCAGUGUUCAACUUUGGCCCCAUCCCCCACCACUUGCACCAGAAACUGCAUCUGGAGCUGGAGCAGCAGAGAAGGAGGGGCGACAGAUUUACAACUGUCCAUGGUUAAGUGACUGAAUUGGACACCCAGAUGGCUCU